UACGUAGGGCGCAAGCGUUGUCCGGAAUUAUUGGGCGUAAAGAGCUCGUAGGCGGCUUGUCACGUCGGAUGUGAAAGCCCGAGGCUUAACCUCGGGUCUGCAUUCGAUACGGGCUAGCUAGAGUGUGGUAGGGGAGAUCGGAAUUCCUGGUGUAGCGGUGAAAUGCGCAGAUAUCAGGAGGAACACCGGUGGCGAAGGCGGAUCUCUGGGCCGUUACUGACGCUGAGGAGCGAAAGCGUGGGGAGCGAACAGG
rnacentral:rRNA from 1 species